CCUGUCCGGGAGAGAAGAGACAGUUUCGAUGUCAUGUGGAGACAGGAGGCUGUGGUCAACGAGGGGAGGCUGUGGUCAACGAGGGGAGGCUGUGGUGGGGGGUGGCGUUCUGAGUCACUUGGCUGGCUUGGGAAUGUGAGCUGGGCCAGGUGCACCUUAGAGAGCCUGGGUGGUGCUGGGGACCUUCAGGCUCUGGAGUCCUGGGUGACCCUGACAGGUGCAUGUACCCACAUCUCCUUGGCCCCUGUCUCUGUUGCUAAUGUCCCUGCACAGACCCCCCCCAGCCGUCAUUUACAGAUUCCCAGCAGUGAAGCACACGGGCUUAGGUUAAAAUCACUGAGCCCCUUGCACAGCGGCCUUCUGGUCCCCUCUGCUGUAAGGCAGGACCACCUGUCAGCCCCUGUCUUCUGGGGACCCCACUAGGCCUAAGAGAUGAGGCUGUGGGGUUCUGUCUUCUGGAGGCCCCACUAGGCCUAAGAGAUGAGGCCGGCGGCGGAGGUCUGGCCUGGAAGAGAAAUGUGGUGAGUCACCCCAGGCCUGACAGAUUCACUCAGACCUGGUCCUUCUGCUCCUAGGCUGAGCCAUCUCUCAGGGACCCUCCUGCCCUCCUUCACCUCUCACCUGGCCUGCCCCAACCAGUUCUCCAGGCAAGCCCAAACCAGUUCCACCUGGUUUGUGACUGUGUUUGGAAAGAGGGUCUUUGCCGAGGUAAUUAAGUUAAAAUGAGGUCAUGUGAGUGGGCCCUGAGCCAGUCUGAUGGGUGUCCUUACAGGAAGACAUUAGGACUCCCAGAGGGUGACUCCAGGGGCAGGUGGCUUGGAGGACUGGCCGUGCAAGGAGGCAGCAAAGGGGCGGCCAUCUGCAAGCUGAGGGCAGAGGCCUUGGAGGAAGCAGCCCUGCCAGUGCUGGUAACUCCUGCAGGUCGGAAGUCCAAACCAAGGUGCUGGAAGGGCUGGUUCCUUCCGGACCCUUCAGGGGAGAAUCUUUCUGCCUCUUUGGCUUCUUGAGGCCCCUUCCUGGCAUUGCUUCUUUCUCCACUGACUCCUACCAUCAGCGCUGAGUCCUGCCUGCCUCUUAUAAGAUCUUCAGAGGCCACCUGGGAUGUCAGAAGCUUCCAGGAACCAGGAGGUAGCUGCAUCUCCUGUCCCUUCCCUGAGUCACCUUGCUGGACUCCACAGUGUGGUGCAGACAAGAAGCUGCAGGGGACAACAUGGAAGGAAGCGGGGAUGGAGGAGAUGGAAUGGGAUGGGCUCUGGGCCCGGCCAAGCAGAGCAGGAUAGGGCUGAGAGUCAUCUGAGCACAGGUGGUUCAAAUGGCAGAGAAGCUCCACGCUGGAGCGGGGAAGAGCUUGGGCUUUCCGGCCAGAAAGCGCAGGUUUUGGCCACGGCUCUUCUGCCACUCACUAGAUGUGGGAGUUUGGAGGCGUUACCCGAGCUCUGAGCCUUACUUUCCUCAUCUGAAAAAUGGGAAUAAUGGUAGGGUUAAAUUAAACCAAAUUUGGUCUGAGGAUGCCUCUGCACUUUGAGUCCAACUGCGACCUUAGCAGCAAAUGAACUGCAGGCCUAGCUUAGGAGUGUACUUUUGUAAGAAAUAGCCGAGUCUUAGCCAAUCACAGCAGCUGAGCUUCUAUAAAUCGCAGGUGGCUGCUGAGUAGUCCAUGUUCAAACACGGCAAACCAAGCUGUGACCAAUGAGCUGUCUCUGCAGCUCACUUCCAUUUUCUGUCUAUAAACACUCCCUGCCCACACUGUGGAGUGGAGCUCAGCCCUUGGAACCUCUUCUGGUCUGAGGGCUGCCCACUUCAUGAAUCCUUUGCUUAAUUAAACUCAAUUCAUUUCAAAUGAAACUCAAUUGAUUGCUAGAUU
rnacentral:lncRNA from 1 species